CCAGUGAAUAAUUCAACGGCCGCGGUAUCCUAACCGUGCAAAGGUAGCAUAAUCAUUUGUCUACUAAUUAUAGACCAGUAUGAAAGGCAAAAUGAGGGUCUAACUGUCUCUUAUAAUCAAUCAAUUAAACUGAUCUCCCAGUAAAAAAGCUGGGAUACUGCCAUAAGACCAGAAGACCCUGUGAAGCUUAAACUACACUAUUAAAUCUCAUAAUAGCUACUUUCGGUUGGGGCGACCUUGGAAAGAAAAAGAACUUCCAAACUUAUAACUACUCCAUAUUUUACCCUAGGCCCACAAGCCACUAACGACCCAGCAUAGCUGAUAACUGAACCAAGUUACUCCAGGGAUAACAGCGCAAUCCUCUUCA
rnacentral:rRNA from 1 species